UACGUAGGGUGCGAGCGUUGUCCGGAAUUACUGGGCGUAAAGAGCUCGUAGGCGGCUUGUCGCGUCGUCUGUGAAAACCAGCAGCUCAACUGCUGGCUUGCAGGCGAUACGGGCAGACUUGAGUACUGCAGGGGAGACUGGAAUUCCUGGUGUAGCGGUGAAAUGCGCAGAUAUCAGGAGGAACACCGGUGGCGAAGGCGGGUCUCUGGGCAGUAACUGACGCUGAGGAGCGAAAGCGUGGGGAGCGAACAGG
rnacentral:rRNA from 1 species